AGUGAACGCUGGCGGCGUGCUUAACACAUGCAAGUCGAACGAGAACGGGUUAUAGCUUGCUAUAAUUGUCAGCUAAGUGGCGCACGGGUGAGUAAUGUAUAGGUAAUAUGCCUCUUACUAAGGGAUAACAAAUGGAAACGUUUGCUAAUACCUUAUACUCCUUAUUAACAUAAGUUAAUAAGGGAAAGAUUUAUUGGUAAGAGAUUAGCCUGUAUUGUAUCAGUUAGUUGGUGGGGUAAUGGCUUACCAAGACUAUGACACAUAACUGGUUUGAGAGGAUGAUCAGUCACACUAGAAAUAAGACACGGUCCAGACUCCUACGGGAGGCAGCAAUGGGGAAUAUUGCACAAUGGACGAAAGUCUGAUGCAGCAACGCCGCGUGGAGGAUGACACAUCUCGGUGCGUAAACUCCUUUUAUAGGAGAAGAUAAUGACGGUAUUAUAUGAAUAAGCACCGGCUAACUCCGUGCCAGCCGCCGCCGUAA
rnacentral:rRNA from 1 species